AAUAGAUACCCAGGUAGUCCACGCCGUAAACGGUGGGUACUAGGUGUGGGUUUCCUUCCUUGGGAUCCGUGCCGUAGCUAACGCAUUAAGUACCCCGCCUGGGGAGUACGGCCGCAAGGCUAAAACUCAAAGGAAUUGACGGGGGGCCCGCACAAGCGGCGGAGCAUGUGGAUUAAUUCGAUGCAACGCGAAGAACCUUACCUGGGUUUGACAUGCACAGGACGCCGGCAGAGAUGUCGGUUCCCUUGUGGCCUGUGUGCAGGUGGUGCAUGGCUGUCGUCAGCUCGUGUCGUGAGAUGUUGGGUUAAGUCCCGCAACGAGCGCAACCCUUGUCCUAUGUUGCCAGCGGGUUAUGCCGGGGACUCGUAGGAGACUGCCGGGGUCAACUCGGAGGAAGGUGGGGAUGACGUCAAGUCAUCAUGCCCCUUAUGUCCAGGGCUUCACACAUGCUACAAUGGCCGGUACAAAGGGCUGCGAUGCCGUGAGGUGGAGCGAAUCCUUGGUAAAGCCGGUCUCAGUUCGGAUCGGGGUCUGCAACUCCG
rnacentral:rRNA from 1 species